rnacentral:lncRNA from 1 species
GAAGUGCUCUUCAACUGCCUCCGCCAUAUUGUCAUUGAUUAGCUCUGUCAUAUUGAAUAUAUUUUUGCAGGUGUGACUUGCAUGGGAAAUCCUGUUUCACCCCGGGGAUGCGGGCAGACAGAGUUUGUCAUUGCCAGGGAGAAAACGUGGCUGCAUCUGAACCACCAGGAGGACAGACGGACACGUGUAUGCCAGGGAAGGGGGACUUAUGCUGAUGGUGAGAAUCGGCGCUAUCUUUCUAAAGGCAAGAGCAGUUACAGACCCACUGUUCAUUACUUUGGAUGUGUCACAUUUGCUAGUAUGACAAGAUGUAUUAUGGACGAGGAAUUUUACAGAUGGAGAGAAACAUCCAUCGGUCGGACAGAAAUUUCAAGCAACAGUUCUUGGAAACCAUAUGGGGAUCAGCCUGGGAGUUCUGCAAGGCUCUCCCCGAUGGCUUUCAGAACACAGACAUUAAGGAAAGAGCCAAGUGUUUCUGACUCAUCCGGUUCAACUGGGAACUUUCCUUCAAAUCCAGCUCCUCUGUCCAGCUUUGAAUUUCGCAGUCCGGUUCAUGUGUUAGUCAUAUCAAUUGCAGAAAAGAGCAGAGGGUUUUAUUUUGCUUCCUUUCUUUACCUUGGGUUUCUCUUGAUGGCAAGGCCCUCGGAGGCAUAACCUGUAGUGCGCGGUUAAUUUUAGUGGUGAAACCAGAGAGCUCUUGAGGACAGCGCUGGGAUAGAAGUGAGGAAUAAUUAUGAAAAAGAACUGAGGAAAAUGGAAAUCUGUUGGACGUGACUGAUUUUAUGUACCAGCUCGAAAAGGAAGCAGUACAGUACUUCAAUAAUGCAUUAUCC